rnacentral:lncRNA from 1 species
UUGGAGUGUACAUCGUUAUCUGACAUGAUCACAUACAUGAAUUUGCUUAUCGGUUUGUUGUCUUUCUUUCCAAACUCAAGGCAAGAUUAUGCCAGUGGGGGCUGUGUUGGUUUUAUGCACUGCUUUACUCAGCACCACAACCAUGUCUGAAAUAAGGUGUAGUCAAUAAAUAUUUUUUAAAUUAAAGAAUUUAAAAAUCUGCAGAUAACCCCCAACUCAGCUUAAUUGACAAUCUCAACCUUCUUACUCUACAGCUUCCAAUAAAUGCUUAUGGGACUUGAAAAAUAAGUAGCAAAAUAUAUGAUUUUUCAUUUACUUUCCUAAUCCUUUCCUAGAAGGACAUGAAAAUAGUAGAAUUAUCUAAACACAAUAAAGGGGAGAAAGAGGAGGAGGUGCUAAAGACAUAUUUUUCAAGAACCAACAAGAUUUACUGAUGGAUUGUAUAUGAGAUGUAAAAGAGCAUGAAAAACAAAUAGAAUAGAGGUAGCCACUUACCAAGAGAAUGAAGACUGUGGUACAAGAUGAUUUGGAUAGUGGAGCUGGGGAGUUGACUUAAUUUAGUCUGUGAGCACAAUUGCAAGUGCAUUGUGCCCAAGGCCGUGUGCUGAGCACAAGGAAUGCAGAGUAGAAGACACAGCCCCUAUCCUCAAGAACUUAUGGUUGGGAAGGAAUGAUAGAAAACACAGGUAAGGUGAUAAAUUGUGCUGAGGUUGGAAAAGCUUAGUAAAUCAAAUGAAAAAUUAAAAAUAGCUUUAGGCUAUGCAACAUUUAGGUAUGCAGAAAGACAUGCCUGCAUUUCUUUCAUAAAGCUUUUUGGUAAUCUCAUGUUUCUAACUUAAGUGUUCUUGGAGUAAUGUGUACAUUAAGCAUUUAUCAAAAAAGUCAUUUCUCACGUGGGGAGCUAUGAAAUUGACAAAGUUUGGAUUUGAAGUGACAAAGCCCUUCAGGAAAUUCUUCUAAUAAUUUUCUGUGUUUGACACCAAUUCAUUAGAUAAGUAUGAUGUAGAAGGAAUGAGAGCUGUGUGAUUGUCAUUACAGGUUAUUCAUUUUUUAGGCUGUGUCAGGAGAGUCCCCAGAGUGUGGCUUGUAGGAUUUAUUUAACCAAAAUGAUUGUAUCAUUGAUCACCAAAUUCCUUCCUGAUGAACAGACUUGGAAGGAAUGUGGGAAGGGCCUGCUGCUCUAGACCUUAGUCCCACCAGUGCUUACAUAUUCCCAUUUAUCCUAACAACUGGGGAUUCAAAGGUCUACUAAUAUUCUGAGGCCAAAGCUGGGUAGUAUUAGAGGGAAUUUUGAUAUUUCAUUUAAGUUGCAGUUGAAUAGCCUUAACUUUCUGCACAACGAUUGGUUCUUUUUGGUGAAGGUUUCCUUUUUGAAAUGAAGAAAACUGCUAUAGGUCUGGCGCUUUGGCUUUAUAAAGGUACUGUUGUCUUUGCUUUUCAGGUAAAGAAACUGAAGCCUACAGAAAAGCUUAUUCAAGCCCAUGCAAAUAAUAAUUGGUGAGGGUGGAUUUGAACCCAGGUCUGAUAGGCUCUAAUCUAUGUAAACCAUAUUAUUCUGGCUCUCUCAAGGCUUGUGCUAUAGAAUCCAAGAACUAGAGAUGAACUGAGAGGUCAGGGAGGCUAAGCUUCUCAUUAAUGUUCAUCCAACUUCUACAGGAAUAAUGUCUUUAAUUAUAUUUCUUUUUUCCCAGCUAAAACAUACUAUAUUUCAAUUUGUAUUACUAUAUCAAUAACAUACAAAAAUAUAAAUAUCUUGGAAUAUUGUGGCAGUGGCAGAAGAAGUUUUAAAUAUCCUCAAUUUUUUUAAAAAAUAGAGCAAAAAGAUAGCAAAACCAAAACACAUGAAUGUCAUUAACAAAUUAAAUUGACAAAAAUAUGAUUUUGGGGAGACAAAUCAUUAAUAGCAACAAGGGCCCACAUUAUAUCAGCCAUAAUUUAGCAGGAGGAAGCUAAGGGGAGAAACAAAGCAGUUGACAUGCCUCAGGAUCCCCAAAUGUCCAACAUGUACUCAAUGGAAAGUAGCCAAAACUGGGAGAGGCUUUGUGUACUCUACUAGCAGGUGAAUAAAAAGAGUUAACAGUAAGAUCUAAAGGAGUGGAAUGGUCUGGGUUUCUUGAACAUUUGAAACUUCCUUCCAGGGUAGUCACUCACUGAGGACAAACUGUUGAGAGCAGGACCCAAACUGAGCAGUAUAAAGACAAGGGAAAGAGAAGGUAAAGAUAAAAGUGGAAGAAGUGCCUAGAGGUUUCAUGCAAAAUAAGACUCACACCACAUUGGACAGGCAGACCUGUAAACAAUUACCAUCCCUUUGUGGAUGAUUUUCAAUAUGUUUUAGACUCAGUGCUUGACCUUCACAACUAUAUUCGAAAGGUAAGUAUUGAAUUCUAAAUAUAAUAUAAGCAUUGUGCUAGAGGUUUAGAAUACACUAAGAAACCAACAGCAUGGUCCCUGCCCCUGGAGUCUUCUGUUAACAUUAUACAGGUUUCCAUACUAU